GACGAACGCUGGCGGCGUGCCUAAUACAUGCAAGUCGAACGCUUCUUUCCUCCCGAGUGCUUGCACUCAAUUGGAAAGAGGAGUGGCGGACGGGUGAGUAACACGUGGGUAACCUACCCAUCAGAGGGGGAUAACACUUGGAAACAGGUGCUAAUACCGCAUAACAGUUUAUGCCGCAUGGCAUAAGAGUGAAAGGCGCUUUGGGGUGUGGCGAAGGGAUGGACCCGCGGUGCAUUAGCUAGUUGGUGAGGUAACGGCUCACCAAGGCCACGAUGCAUAGCCGACCUGAGAGGGUGAUCGGCCACACUGGGACUGAGACACGGCCCAGACUCCUACGGGAGGCAGCAGUAGGGAAUCUUCGGCAAUGGACGAAAGUCUGACCGAGCAACGCCGCGUGAGUGAAGAAGGUUUUCGGAUCGUAAAACUCUGUUGUUAGAGAAGAACAAGGACGUUAGUAACUGAACGUCCCCUGACGGUAUCUAACCAGAAAGCCACGGCUAACUACGUG
rnacentral:rRNA from 1 species